CUGAACCCUAAACCCUUAAAGUGACCUUUUUCUUUUGAUUUCCUGUGAGUUGAAAACCAGCUAGUAAAGUUUGUUUAAGGCUCCUGCUUCUGGAUCUGGGCUUCCUGUGGUGAGACACCUGAGAAGAAAGCGUGCACAGAAGGCAGAAUAUUUAUAGGAGGAGCUCGGUGUGGA